rnacentral:rRNA from 1 species
AAAUUGAAGAGUUUGAUCAUGGCUCAGAUUGAACGCUGGCGGCAGGCCUAACACAUGCAAGUCGAACGGUAGCACAGAGAGCUUGCUCUCGGGUGACGAGUGGCGGACGGGUGAGUAAUGUCUGGGAAACUGCCUGAUGGAGGGGGAUAACUACUGGAAACGGUGGCUAAUACCGCAUAACGUCGCAAGACCAAAGAGGGGGACCUUCGGGCCUCUUGCCAUCAGAUGUGCCCAGAUGGGAUUAGCUUGUUGGUGAGGUAACGGCUCACCAAGGCGACGAUCCCUAGCUGGUCUGAGAGGAUGACCAGCCACACUGGAACUGAGACACGGUCCAGACUCCUACGGGAGGCAGCAGUGGGGAAUAUUGCACAAUGGGCGCAAGCCUGAUGCAGCCAUGCCGCGUGUAUGAAGAAGGCCUUCGGGUUGUAAAGUACUUUCAGCGGGGAGGAAGGUGUUGUGGUUAAUAACCGCAGCAAUUGACGUUACCCGCAGAAGAAGCACCGGCUAACUCCGUGCCAGCAGCCGCGGUAAUACGGAGGGUGCAAGCGUUAAUCGGAAUUACUGGGCGUAAAGCGCACGCAGGCGGUCUGUCAAGUCGGAUGUGAAAUCCCCGG